GAAAUAAUAAAUUAAAGAAUAAGCUUCUAACUUAAUUCUUAAGCAUUGAAAUAUGUUUUUAUUUCU
rnacentral:tRNA from 1 species